rnacentral:rRNA from 1 species
GCACCCGCACAAGCAGUGGAGUAUGUUGUUUAAUUCGACGCAACGCGAAGAACCUUACCAGGUCUUGACAUCUACGGAAAGGAUCGUAAUGGAUCCCGUGCCCUUCGGGGAACCGUAAGACAGGUAGUGCAUGGUUGUCGUCAGCUCGUGUCGUGAGAUGUUGGGUUAAGUCCCGCAACGAGCGCAACCCUUGCGGAUAGUUGGUUACGAAAGUAAUCUCUCUAUUCGGACUGCCGUUGACAAAACGGAGGAAGGUGGGGAUGAUGUCAAAUCAUCAUGCUCUUUAUGAUCUGGGCCACAAACGUACUACAAUGGCGCGAACAAAGGGAGCAAAGGCGCGAGCCGGAGCAAAUCCCAAAAACGCGUCCCAGUUCGGAUUGCAGGCUGCAACUCGCCUGCAUGAAGUUGGAAUUGCUAGUAAUCGCGGAUCAGCACGCCG